ensembl:lncRNA
CUGUUAUGGACUCCUGGACUGGUCCCAGAAAAAUUUUCCUCUAUUAUUUUCUAGGUAUCUGUCAUUUUGUGCUAUUUGUGUUAUUGCUGAGUAUUAUCCUUAGGUUCGUUUUCAGAAAAGAACGUGAAAGAGAGGGAGAAAGAAAGAAGAGAAAGGCAGAAGUGUCCACAGUGAGACCUAAGCAAUCAAUAUCUUCCAACCGCUUCUCAGAAGAGCAGCCUUAUCAAGCCUGCACAUUUGCUACCAGGCUGCACAUUUUCUACCCUUCUUCAUGUCUGUAUGCCCAAGGGAAGUGUUUCACAGAAGAGAGGAGUUUUUCAAGCUGAUCAAGGAAGCCCCAGGAGGCUGUUUAAUUCAAAUACUCCCCAAAAAUUGCCCCAAGUGUCCUGGCUGCAGAAUGCUAUACAGGAAUGAAAACAAAGACAUCCAAGCCUUGAGCCAUUUAGAAGAGGAAGAAGCCAAAAUCCAUGCCAGAGGUUCGACUGCUGGGUUUACUUAUGGCUUCAGGCACAAAUUAAUGACCUUCAAACAGUACAGUGAUAUCGUCUUGAGCCCUCUACUCAGCCAAUCUGCUUUGCUCUCAGCUGCUGAACCAUGUCUGAUCACCCCCUUUGAAGGGGAACGUGUGAUGUUGAGGAGCAAUGAGAUGUUUGCAGAGCCAUUUGUAGAAAGAGAAGACCAUCAGGUGGAACAAGGAAGCUGUUUUCUGCAGGAGGAGCCUGAAGCCAAGUAUCAAUUUGUUUUGAAACUGAAAUCCAGAGAUACAUUUCACUUGCCCAUCAUUUGGAGGGUUCAUCUGUGUCACUCAGAAGUGGAAAAGGAUGGGGACAGACACCUGGUGGGAGAAGGGCAGAGAGAAGAGGUGGCUGGAGGAGGCAGCAAUAGUAAGGAUGGAGUGAGGAACAACCAAGUGCUUUGGCGGCCACUGCUAACAGAGCCAGGAGGGAGAAAUAAAGCCAUGUUCAAGCAGCUGGGCAGAACAAUUGUCAACUAUGCUGAGAAGGCAACAUUUACAACCCCGGUUUGCAAUAUGGGACUACAUCGAGAUCCCCAACUGUACCUCUCACUGAAGGCCCAUAGGAAAAUCCAGAGAGGUGUCAUAUCACUAAAAGAAGAAUACUGGGAAGAGGGAAAAGGUUUAACAAGGAUGAACUGGGUGAGCUGACAGGUCUACUUGUGGAACCAGAGAUCUUAAGCAAUUACUGCAGGAGAAUGAGGAGAAGUUAAGUUUAGAUUCACAGCAAGAAGUAUUUAAAGAGCCCGUUUGAGAUCAGAAACCCACUGGGAGCUGACAUCCCCAUUGAAAUCUGCUUCCAUAUUGCGCAGUGACUAUUUGCAAGAAAUUGGCCACUGAAGGAGAACUACACACCAGAUUUAUUCCAGUAACUUCAAACUCUAAGUGCAUUUGUGAAAAGAACAAUCUGCCCAUUAAAGGCCUGAAAGAAAGGUGAAAUUAAUCAAAUGAGUGAUUGAGUAUGAAUAAUUCUCCCAGUCCUUCAAAUCACCAAAUGCAGUGCAAGUCCCUUCUAACCCAACCUCUUUGUCAAAUCUUCUCCCCUUUAAAAAGCUGUUGUAUUAUUUGCCUAAAUUAUUCAUGUGCUGAAAUAAACGUGUUGGUUAUGGACUUGUCCCA